AAAGGUUAUGUUUGUCUGAAUCCAUGUUGAAAUGAUUAGCCACCUAUUUUGGCCACCUAUUCACUUAUCACUGAAAAGGCUUCCCAAAUAUUUUCUAUAAAUGCAGAGGCUUUCAGUAGUUACACUCCACUUGAUCGUUCCUGCCAUCUGACUUUAUUCAUCCAAAACAUCAUGAGGAUCAUUUUUAUACUUUGGGCCUUCUUCCUCUUUCUCUGCCAGUCUAUUCCAGGUGAGAAAACAAAGACUCAACCAGGAUGGGACAAACAGCAAGGGAGGAACUUCAUGACACCCUGACGUGCCGCAACAAUCAUGGACGUUGCCGGAGAAUUUGUUUCCACCAUGAACAUGUGAUUGGCACUUGCACAAAUGGCCGGCAACGCUGCUGCAAAUGAAAGGAACUAUAUGAGGUUGUGGAAUUACAAAGAAGCAGGGAGAACGAUGACUAAAAGCACCUGGAAUAUUGCAGAAGUUAAAUAUUUCCUCUGAAACACGACUGUAUUAUAGUGGGAAUGUCCAAUGGAACAAGAAAAUCAUGAGUGUUUGCUACUAUGAAGUGAAUUGUCUGUGAAUAGUUUGAAAACUAGCCACUGCUUCUCAAUGGUUGUAGGAUAGGAAUAGGAUAGGAAAAGAUUGUGUUCCUCUCUGACUUUCCAAACAAUUUUUAGGCAGAACCAGCAGGUGGCAGCAUUCACCCAGUUUAUUUUAGCCAUCUGAAAAUCGUUCAAAUUUUUAAUGCAAAGUUAAGCCCCCUAUGUUCAGCUGAAAUUAUGGAAGGCAAUAUCUUUAAUAAAAGUCAAAAGCAUUAA